GAACUCAGCGAGGGGUGCCGCGCUUCGAUCGAUGGACGAGUUCCUCGCGUCGACCGGCUGAGAUCACACCCUUAAUCACCUGAUCCGGGUCAUACCGGCGGAGGGACUGCUGGCCAUUUUAACC
rnacentral:ncRNA from 2 species